GUUAGUAUGGCAGAGCUUGGUUAUGCAAAAGAUCUAAGCCCUUUAAACCGGGCUUCAAAUCCCCUUACUAACU
rnacentral:tRNA from 1 species